rnacentral:lncRNA from 1 species
AAAUAAACACCCCUUGUAUUUUGCUUGAGGCCACAUGAGUUGAGUUUCUGAAACUUGCAGCUCAGAGCCCUGUGCUCAUAGUCAGCUAUGAGAAAUGCGUAAUUGUGUCCAUGAGCUUCAGGCACAUUUGAUGGGGAGGCAGCUCUUCUUCAGUAGGUGAGAGAACAGCAGCUUACCCUGAAACAUCUAACUUCCAGGAAUUAACACAGUAAAGGGCAAGCCUAGUUGAAUAUGUGCCUUUGUUUUGGUUUGGCAUCCAAAGCCCGAGAGGACUUGUCCUAUAGCACAUCACAGCACAAUCCUUGGUAUUGUGCACCCCUGGCAGGGGGACACUCAACCCUCUGGGUCAGUAUGUCCUUGUGACAUCAGUACAUGAUGAAUGCACAUCACAGUGAUGGUGGUAUGUUGUGGUCUGCACACACAGACAUGUGACAGCAGCAUGUUCCUGCCAUGGAAGAGGGGCGAAGGCAUCUGCAUGAGACCUAGGGUGACUGGGUAUAUUGUAAGACCAGUGGUGUUUGGGGGGCAGGGCUUUUGAAGCCUCAGACCCAGGCUGAGGAACAGGGGGCUGAAAUGUGGGAGUAAGGAGGGAUGAUUCCUAGGAGUACUCAUGGAAGGUGCUAGAAGUGUCUUCCAGGGCAGAAUCGGCUGGCAGGGGAGUCUGCAGAACGCUGUCUUCAGGCAGCAAGGAGGUGUAGCAGGCUGGUGCUGUGGCUCAGGGCUUGGUGAACAUGUGUGUUCCUGGCCCUGCUCCACCUGCUUCUCCACUAAAGCUGACUGA